GAGAGCGGCGUACGGGUGCGGAACACGUGUGCAACCUGCCUUUAUCUGGGGGAUAGCCUUUCGAAAGGAAGAUUAAUACCCCAUAAUAUAUUGAGUGGCAUCACUUAAUAUUGAAAACUCCGGUGGAUAGAGAUGGGCACGCGCAAGAUUAGAUAGUUGGUGGGGUAACGGCCUACCAAGUCGAUGAUCUUUAGGGGGCCUGAGAGGGUGAUCCCCCACACUGGUACUGAGACACGGACCAGACUCCUACGGGAGGCAGCAGUGAGGAAUAUUGGACAAUGGGUGCAAGCCUGAUCCAGCCAUCCCGCGUGAAGGACGACGGCCCUAUGGGUUGUAAACUUCUUUUGUACAGGGAUAAACCUAGAUACGUGUAUCUAGCUGAAGGUACUGUACGAAUAAGCACCGGCUAACUCCGUGCCAGCAGCCGCGGUAAUACGGAGGGUGCAAGCGUUAUCCGGAUUUAUUGGGUUUAAAGGGUCCGUAGGCGGAUCAGUAAGUCAGUGGUGAAAUCUCAUAGCUUAACUAUGAAACUGCCAUUGAUACUGCUGGUCUUGAGUAAGGUAGAAGUAGCUGGAAUAAGUAGU
rnacentral:rRNA from 1 species